rnacentral:rRNA from 1 species
AGCGAACGCUGGCGGCAGGCCUAACACAUGCGAGUCGAACGAACUCUUCGGAGUUAGUGGCGGACGGGUGAGUAACACGUGGGAACGUGCCUUUUGGUUCGGAAUAACUCAGGGAAACUUGUGCUAAUACCGGAUGUGCCCUUCGGGGGAAAGAUUUAUCGCCAUUAGAGCGGCCCGCGUCUGAUUAGCUAGUUGGUGAGGUAACGGCUCACCAAGGCGACGAUCAGUAGCUGGUCUGAGAGGAUGACCAGCCACACUGGGACUGAGACACGGCCCAGACUCCUACGGGAGGCAGCAGUGGGGAAUCUUGCGCAAUGGGCGAAAGCCUGACGCAGCCAUGCCGCGUGAAUGAUGAAGGUCUUAGGAUUGUAAAAUUCUUUCACCGGGGACGAUAAUGACGGUACCCGGAGAAGAAGCCCCGGCUAACUUCGUG